UUGAGUCGACACUCAUAGUUCGCUACACACAGACCUGGAUCCUGGGAGCAAAAAAAUCAAGUAUAUCCUAUCAGGUGAUGGAGCUGGGACCAUAUUUCAAAUAA
rnacentral:sRNA from 1 species